UUGUAAACUUUAAAAAUAAAAUAAAAUAAAACUUCUCCUACGCCUAUAAAUGUUGAAAAAGUACACACAAAUCGCAGUUUUGUGUGGUACACACACACACACACACACAACUGCAUUUGCCCACAGAUCCGGUUACGAGUGCGCAAGUAUUUUUGAGACUCAUUUCACGCUUCGGGGAAGCUCCCAGAUUUGUGUGUAGAUGAUGCGUUUAAAUGCUAGUACAAGCUGGGUCAUCUGCGUUUUGUUUAAGAUGGCAGUAGUUAGAUUUUAUUUAAAGUAGUACAUUAAGUUUAAAUGUGAGGUAAUUUUAUUGAAUUUAUGUUAAGUGUACAUUCAAAUGUGGAGGGGGAACUUUUGUUUUGUUCCGCGGACUAAGUGUUGCCCAGGGAAGCAUUGGCUGGCGCAUUUAGAGACACAUGGGCAUUCAAGCUGAAGAAGCUGUAAGAAAUUAAGCUUUAUUCCUCUGGAGUCAAUGCGGUUAAUGAGUUCUGACGGCAUUUUUGGGGACUUUGAAAGACGUGUCCACAAUAAAUGGCUGUUGAAAACCAAGAAUUGCGUUAAGCUUUGAUUUUACUCGAGAGGAGUAACAUCAGCACUUCCUUAUAAUAUCCUAAAAUUAUUUAUAUACAUAUUGUGCAUUUUUGAGCUGUACAGGAGACUAAGUGGUCAGAAAAACGACCACUGGGUGGCGGAAUGGUUCGCUGGCCGGAUAAAUAGCCAAGCAAACCCAGAACCAUGACGGAGCAUCCCGGUGGUCUGUUCUCUGAAGACAAAACGGCUGACUGAUGGAUCGGGUCUGGUGUUAUUUCACUUUCUGGACGAUCAGGAUCUUUCAGAUCUCAUCUACCUUCUGAUCCGAUGGAGCUGCUGCAGGAACACACUGAUCCUCUAACAGGAUUCUCAGAUCCAGGCAUCGAUGUCUGGUGUCCUGCAACAUUUAGAUACAUCCUGGUCCAACACACCUGAAUAAAUGACUGCUUAGGACAGUCAAGUUCUCCAGAGUCGUGCUAAUGACCUCUGACCUCAUGAUUUGACUCGGGUGCGUUAAAGAAGAGACAUCUAAAGGUUGGAGGACACCGACCCUUAUGAACUGGAGUUGAAGCACUGCUGUACAAUUGUCAUUCAAUCGUAAUCACAUUUACUUGCAUAGAGUGGAAACGUUACUUAUGUUGAGGCAGAUGAGGAGUUUACAUAGUGCCUUUACUUUAAUACCAUAAUGGUUUCCAUUUAUUGAAAGUAAAUUACAAACAUUUAGCCAUAGUUUGACCACUGCUUUAUGACAGGAAAAAAAGCUUGAUGUCACAAAUAUAUUAUUUUAAUAGAGGCAUCAUUCGAUUUAUACUGUAGAAAGAAGUAUUUCCUGAAUUAACUUUAAUGUUCAUUUUACUGCACACAAAGGACAUAUUAAAUAUUUAAGAAUGCAACAAAUCUGUUGAAUCUUUAACAAAAUAAGUUCAGAUUAACAUGGGUGGUCUCACAGCUACCGAAAGUUAACAAUGACAUGUCUUAAAACUUACAUGGAUGUUCAAAUAUUUACUAUUAUCAAAUACAAAAGAAAACACCAUAAAGCUGUGCAUUCAAAGACGACCAAGGCCAGUCUGUACAGAUUGAGGAGACACCAUAACAUCUACCAACAGAGCAGGUUAACUACUGUAGUAGUUUGAAAGGCGUCUUGGUCCAGUUGACGGCUCAGUUUGAAGCUUCAGGUUUUGGUGUUGAACCUCCCAGAGUCUCAGCUGCUGCAGAUUGUCUGGAGAUGCAGAGAAAAGUACAAAUAGACAGUUAGUGUUAGAAAAAUUUAUGUUGAUUUUCCUGAACAGCUGGUGCACCGACAAACCUGACUGUGACAGAACAUUAAUGAACCUGAAAAUUAAUUGAAUCCUCACAAUGUAUCUAGAAAUUUUUCUUUUUACGUCGAUCAAAUGUUUAUGCAUUAAAUGUUUUCCUGUGGAGGCUAUUUUUGCAGUGGUGCUUUAAAUAAAUGCAUAAAAUAUUUA